UGCUGGAGCGAAUAGAAGUGAGCAUGCAGGCAUGAGUAGCGAUAAUUAAUGUGAGAAUCAUUAACGCCGUAAACCCAAGGUUUCCUACGCGAUGCUCGUCAUCGUAGGGUUAGUCGGGUCCUAAGUCGAGUCCGAAAGGGGUAGACGAUGGCAAAUUGGUUAAUAUUCCAAUACCAACAUUAGUGUGCGAUGGAAGGACGCUUAGGGCUAAGGGGGCUAGCGGAUGGAAGUGCUAGUCUAAGGUCGUAGGAGGUUAUACAGGCAAAUCCGUAUAACAAUACUCCGAGAACUGAAAGGCUUUUUGAAGUCUUCGGAUGGAUAGAAGAACCCCUGAUGCCGUCGAGCCAAGAAAAGUUUCUAAGUUUAGCUAAUGUUGCCCGUACCGUAAACCGACACAGGUGGGUGGGAUGAGUAUUCUAAGGCGCGUGGAAGAACUCUCUUUAAGGAACUCUGCAAAAUAGCACCGUA
rnacentral:rRNA from 2 species